ensembl:lncRNA
GCCAAUUUUACAAAAUACAGACAACAAACAUAAACACGUUCUCACCUUCAAGAUUAAUAUGUGGGUCAGCGUUCGCCAGAGUGACCCUUCAUUCAUCACCAAUGUUCAUAAUGUUACCUUGGUGACUGCGUUUAAUCUCCCCACAGAGACUUCUAUCCCAAUCUGACCCUUAACCCGGAUGAAAGGAAUGUCAGUGAGGUCACACACUCCUCCAGUCCAUUUUGUACAUGACCAUUUGCCUUUGACGGGAUGCUUGCAGAAUCAGUAUUCAGGGAUAAUAAAAUCUUGCAUUUUGCAUAUUGUCCAGAUACAUUUAUUGCAAAACAGACUCUUCUCUCCUGUCCCGCCAAUUUAUUGGCAGUUUACGUUAAGUAAAUGGGUAAAGCCACUUCCUCCCAAAAAUCAUGAGAAGCCUCGAAAAACAAAAGAAUCCUGCUGCUCUUUAAUGUUGGCAAAAUUGCCAAAAAUACAGAUUUUAAAGGUACAUCAAAUUUAUUACAUCAUUGUACGUGAGGAAUUUUUCACGCUUUCAGAGGAGUAACAUAAAGUGGUAACAGUAAUGCUUUAUACACACACACACAUAUAUAUAUAUAUAUUUGUAAUUGCGGUUGCUGGGAUAGUUAAAAUAGAGCUAGAAAAUACUGUGCAAAAUGUUAGUUUAAAAAGAUCUGAUCACAUGUAUUCUGAUUUCAAUUAUAGUUUUUUUCCUAUAAGUUUUAGAUCAAAUUACUUAUUCAUUUCAGUAAAUCAGAAGAUUAUAAAACAAUGAAGGCGAGCAGGUGCUACUGUACAUAACUCACAAGAAAUACAUUUAAUGUGGUCAUUUUUAAAAGAUGUGUGUCCUGGGUCUAAAAUACCCUCAGUGCAGUUUCCCAUGAAAAUAUUUUUAAGAAAUCUUAUUUUAUUCAAAGUUUUAGAAAUGUGCAAAAAACAAAAUGAGACAUAUCAAGGGAGGAAUCUUACAAGCUGAGUGGAGAACGAUCUGAAAAAUUGGGGGGUUUAUUAAAUUAUAGAUUAGUCUAUUAAAUUGGGGUACUGCAUCUGUAGUACAUAAUUAAACACGCUGGAAAUGAUACAGUGAGUAAAUAUCUUAACUAAUUUAAGAGAAAUGAAUCCUUUUUAAAGACUUACAUAUUUCACUGACAGUUUCCAAGUCCAGUUACAAUUAAUUCAUUUUAUUUGGGCAUAUUUAGUUUAAAAUAUUACAAUAUUUUUUUAUAUUCUUGAUCGAUUACCGUUUCGGUUAAGAUUCUGCUUUAAGCAAGAUGAUUCAGAACGUGCUGAACUACAUUUGUGAGCUAAACAGGCAAAUAAACUAUUGAAAGUUGGUGCACUGAUUUGUCUUCAGGGAUAUUAGCCACUUUACUCACUGUAUCGAUUAUAUAAAUCUUGUAGGUCAAAAUCAAAGAAAAGGAACAGUUAGAUGUUUUUUGUAAAAACAGUAAUAAAUAUAAUUGUACUUUAGUUAUAGAUUCAAAGUGUUUUUAAUGUUUUUCUACAGAAUUGAUGACAAAAAAUUGGUAAUAAUGCAAAAAAGGUAAGUGCGGCCCAAUAUUUUUAUGAGCUUAUGCGUCCCAUUUACAAUAUGCAGGCAUCACUUACACUUUGAAUAUAAUCCUAAAGUUUUUUAAAGCAUCUUUUACAUUUCUCAGCCAUGCAUUCUCUUUAAAAAAAAACUGAGACAACUCGAACGUUAACAGAGAUGUCAAGUCGUCAAACAAGAAGAAGAUUUUUUGCUUUAUCGGAGCAAACAAGAUUCUGGAUGAUUCUGGACCAUCAGAGGUGGAUUUUUCUUCACUAUUUUAGAAGAGAAAGCACAUGCGCUUACAUUAUUAAUAAUAAAACAUGCUGAGAGGAUAUUCUACUUUGGGUCUGAUGCUAUUAGACCAUAUUUGAAAAAAAUGUUUGUCCGCAACAUUUAAAGAGCAACGACUACUUCAUAAAACAGAAUUACUGAAUAGGACAAUUUAGAUUUGAUGAAAAUUAACAUUCUUAAUGCAAUAUCCACAAGCAGCAAUAGCCUCUGGUUUUUGGUUACUGUGUGCAUUGCUCCCUCUACUGGUUAAUAAUUACUGAAAGAAGCUGUUGAAUUCUGUAACUCACCAUUAAAUAUUAUGACAAUAUAUUUCUGUUUGAGGAAAAGUGACCUGUCAAACCAUCUUUAAUAUAGCUUAUAAUGAACUUAUGUAAGGGGUUUCUUUGCUGUUAGAUUGCAAUAUUCCCUUUGAGUUAAGAAAACACAAAGGAUCUUUGUGUUUUUCAGUUUUUAGCCAUCCAAUAAUAAGACAAAAAGCUUCUGAUUGUCAGCGUCCUCAGCAGGUAAUUCAAAAUCUUGGUGCGGGAACCAAAUUCCAGCACAGUCCAGGAAGGUUUGGGCUUUUUUUUGGUGUUCCUUCUCAUACUUUGCUGAGGCGAGUUAGCAUUUCAUGGGCUGACGAACCUGAGAUUGAGCCUAAAAUCACCAUUCUCAGGUUGGACAGUCCUUGAAAGGACUACUCAAGAUUUAAAGCGGGACCGGAUGUGUUGUUCAGGCCGCUCUGCGAGCCGCCACACGCAGAGUCCACACUGAAGGCAAACGUGUACAAAAAUAAAAUUACUUGACAAAGAAAAGAUGAGAAUGUGUCUAUGAUACCACUCCACAUGUGAUUACACAUCUGGAAAUAUACACCUGCUGAUGGAUAAUCUAGUGAGCGGUUUUUCCAUAAUUCGGAGGCACAAAUAUCUGCUUUAUGACCUCGUGGUGGAGAGCUGAAAUUAUAUUUUGUAGUAAUAAUAUUUUGGCCACCAACAUUUCUAAUUGCUCUGAACUAAAUAUCACUCAAAGGUAGAUUUUUUUUUUCUAAAGCUAAACAUAAGAAUU